CCUACGGGAGGCAGCAGUGAGGAAUAUUGGUCAAUGGGCGAGAGCCUGAACCAGCCAAGUCGCGUGAAGGAUGACGGCCCUACGGGUUGUAAACUUCUUUUGUCAGGGAGCAAUUGGGUCCACGCGUGGGCUUUGCGAGAGUAUCUGAAGAAAAAGCAUCGGCAAACUCCGGUCAAGCAGCCGCGGUAAAACGGAGGAGGCGAGGGUUAUCCGGAUUUAGUGGGUUUAAAGGGUGCGUAGGCGGAAUAUCAAGUCAGCGGUAAAAAUUCGGGGCGCAACCCCGUCGUGCCGUUGAAACUGAUGUUCUUGAGUGGGCGAGAAGUAGGCGGAAUGCGUGGUGUAGCGGUGAAAUGCAUAGAUAUCACGCAGAACUCCGAUUGCGAAGGCAGCAUACCGGCGCCCAACUGACGCUGAAGCACGAAAGCGUGGGUAUCGAACAGGAUUAGAUACCCUUGUAGUC
rnacentral:rRNA from 1 species